UACAGAGGGUGCGAGCGUUAAUCGGAAUUACUGGGCGUAAAGCGUGCGUAGACGGUUAUUUAAGUCAGGUGUGAAAUCCCCCGGGCUUAACCUGGGAAUUGCGCUUGAAACUAGCGGGGCUUAGUGUGGCAGAGGGGGGGUGGAAUUCCACGUGUAGCAGUGAAAUGCGUAGAGAUGUGGAGGAACACCGAUGGCGAAGGCAGCCUUCUGGGCCAACACUGACGCUCAUGCACGAAAGCGUGGGGAGCAAACAGG
rnacentral:rRNA from 1 species